CAAAGGGUGGAUGUAGUCUAGAAGGGUCGGAUAAGGGUUGUAGAGGUGGUUAAAAGAGAAAGAAUCGGAUUUCGACAAAUUUUUCCGGCACUACGAAAAAAUUGUGUCGAAGUCCCAACUUCGGCGAAUUAUUUCGGGGGUCAAACGACCUCCGAUAGUGAUGCAUGUUACCUUUUUGGAAUUCCCUAUGAGCGCAGGAUGUUAGGUAAAAAU
rnacentral:lncRNA from 1 species